CCAGCUCCUUCUCCCCUUUCCUCUGAUCUGCCCCCACGGGAACGCAGCUGCCUCCCAGACGGGGGACCCUGGCAUCCUAUGGGCAGGCCUCCUAGGCCUCUCUGAGAGCAACUCUGGUUCACUGACAGCCCAGACUCACGCUCGACACCUUAUCCUUCCCACAGCAGCGAACCUGCCCAGAGUGCCAGCCCUGGCCCAUCCUACACAUAGGGAAACUGGGACUCUACAAAGCCAAGUCACUUCCCAAGGUCAUGCAGCCAGCUGGGGUUCCAGGGUCCAGGCCCCUGGCCUUCCAGGCGUCAGCAGUCAGGACGCUCCUGCUUCUCCUUGAAGCAGAGGUGAGGGCCAGGCCCACCAUCUGCCCCUGCACUGGGCCCCCACACUGGGUUUCCACAUGGCUCUUACCAAGCAGGGUGUGGGCACAGCUGUGCUCAGAGCUCCCUGACCUCAGGGUACCGAUAGGGAACACAGGGAAGGCCAGAGGAGAUUUACAACAAAACCAAAGGCCCAUCUUGAAUGGCGGCGGGAGAGGAUGAGCAGUUACCGUUGCCCUUUGCACAUUCACACAUUUGUCCAUUCACUCACGCAUUCAUCGGACAUACGCGAGCCCGGGCACUGGGGGAGGCAGUGCUGAGUGAAACAGGUGGUCCUGCCCUCAGCCUGGCCCAGAGGGACAGACAUGGACCAAACAAGUCCACAACUCAGGCAGGCUUGCAGCUGUGAGAGGUUGCCUGUGUGGGGACCUGCGGUGACCUCACUGAAUCUUCGAAUGGCCUUCGGGGUAGGUACGGUCACUCUCCCAUUUGACAGACAGGUGACUGAGCCUCAGGGACAUCUUGCCCUCCGUGGUAUCCCUGGGUGGCCCCACUAGUGAGUGGAGAGCAGGAUUGGACCUGAGGCCUCCCAG
rnacentral:lncRNA from 10 species